GCCGCUUUAGCUCAGUCGGUAGAGCGUCUCACUCGUAAUGAGAAGGUCGCGAGUUCGAUUCUCGCAAGCGGCUCCG
rnacentral:tRNA from 1 species